UCGCAAGGUUGACCUCGSAUCAGGCAGGGAUACCC
rnacentral:rRNA from 1 species